GAAUGGUGUCUUGUCUCCGUUUGUGUUGACAAGUUUUAUUUCUAAUUUUUUCCUGUUUCGUCUCCUCUUUUUUAUUUUCAGUUCAGAUACAACCAAGAGACGGUGCAUAUCGUCCCUCCCAGGGAAGAAGAGAUUCAACAUCCUUUUCUCCAACCCAUCAUCUGGAGCAACAACAGUUUCCGGUGACAACAGCACAGCUGGAUCACAGCUGGAUCAGCUGUCGGUCUGCAGUUGUCUAGUUGCUGAAGGUGACAAAGCUCUGAAGGUCCUGCCAACUCUCCUUCCCCCAUCAGCAAGACGGGAGGAAAAGUCUUCAGACCCACAGGUCGUUUAUUGAUACGCAGCCUAAACACCUUUCAAAAACUCACACGGAUGUUCGUUUCUGACCAGGACGACCAGUCACCGCUGGCCACUGAGCAACUACACGAAGCAGCUGGAUGCUACUCUCUGCCUUGGAGUCCUUUCAACCAGCUGGUUCACUGCACAGGGUCCCAUCAGUCCACAACAGGGUGAGAUGUCUGCAGUUCACUCAGAAUUCAACAGAGGUCACUAGAAACUGCUCUUGGAUGAAGUUAGCUCAUCAACCUCUUCAGAGCCGUGUCAUCCUUCAUAGCAAGAGGAGUACCAGAUCCGACAGAUCAGACCGAAAGGAGAAAAAACACAGACACAUAUAGAAAGACAUGGAUGUGACCAUAGACUACAACAACUGCACUUUUCUUAAAUUUCAUAUCAAACAUCUCAUCAAUGUAUUUUCCAACAGCCAUCCCCUAACAAGAAUUAAGCAAAGUACAGUAAGGUUGAUGGUCCUGUAUAAAUACAGUUUAAUACAAAUUCUGUUGCUUUGGUGCAUUGCGACGUUCUGAGAGCCACAUUAGGUCAGAGGUCUCCGACAGUUUAUGUAAAACAUGCUUUGAUCUUCGCUCCAACCAAAAACAGUACCACUUUAAGUGCAUCAUCCUAUAACAAAAGGAGUAUACGCUUGCCACAUAAUACUGCCAUUACACCCCUUGUACGAUUGAAACCCACUUUUUUUGCUCUCGCAAUUAUAGGCCCCUUCAGGAGGGGACGUGUUUAUGCCCAGCAGUUAGCAAUGCAUUGAUUUAAUACGUUUCUAAUCAGGACAUACAGCUUCAGGGCCUGAAAUGUUCAUUUUUCCUGCUGCUUACAAAGUAGCCUUUGAUUUUCUGUCACGGCAGUAAUUACCGUUUUUUGCUACUGGA